GUGGAUGAAGGGGCUGGAGCAGCAGGUGGCCAGCCUGAAGGAGCAGCUGGACCAGGAAGUGCGGCAACGGCCACAUGGCCACCUCCACCAGGCCUCCCGGGCCAGGCAGUGAGCCCACUGCAGACACUGCACAGCUCGGCUGCCUGCAGCCCUGAGCAGCCGGACACGGGCUCCUCCGGGCAGGGGACCCAGGCGGCCGAGGACCUGGGCUGAGAAAGCUCAGCGGUGCUGCAGAGGGGGCAGUGCAGGAGGGACACAGGCACCUGGCCAGAGCUGCCUACCCACUCCCUGGGGCACUCUGGCCCCACCGGGGCUCUGCCGCUGGCUGGGCUGGCCCGGCUGCCGGUCACUCCUCUCCAGCACCCUUCCUGCCACAGGGAGCAGGCUGUGGAUGCCUCCUCAGCCCGCCCUUGGCGUGGCGCUCAUUUCCGCUUCGGACCUGCCGUUCUUGCCAGGACCUGGUGGCCGGGUCUUGCCAGGCAGGCUUCCUUGGCCACAGGCUGCAUUCCCAGCCUCGCUCUGUAAACACCGGGAAGCACGUGGGAAACAUUUCCACCAACACGAGCCAAAAACACAAUGUCCCGCAAGGCCAGCCGCCACAUCCCACGUCCAGAGGCUGUGGAACCUCCUGAGUCCAGGAACUGCCUCCUGUCACGGUGGCAGGUGGCUGGAAAUGACUCAGAUUCGAGUCCCUGUGACUCACUGGCCACAAGAGGUACUAAAGUGUGAAAUCUGAAGUUGUUCCAGAGGUUCCUGCAUCCCCAGUGGGGAGACACUGGGAAAAUUCCUGUGAGUUGCCACAGGGGUCUGUUACAGCCACCUGCUGGCCUCUUCCCUGGUCUCCCCAAGGAACUGGUCAGUGAUGCACCUUCCUCUGCUCUCACAUUGUAAGCAGCACCUUUAGGGCCAGGCACCAGGCCACAGGAAAAUCCUGUGUGCCUUGGCCCAGGCUGCCCUCAGGGCCCGGGCAUGGGAUGCCACCCACUCUGCCCACCAUGAGCCAUGACCACGCUGUCAGAGGCUGUCCUCUCUGGUCAGCCCUGGGACCUACUUGAACUUAGUAAGGGAGUGACACAUUCUAAGUCCCCAAAGCCAGGGCCGGGCAGGUGACCAGAGGCCCCCUGGCCUGUCCACGCUGCUCGCUCAUCAGUGGCAGAGUAAGAAGGAUCCACAGCUCAGCCCAGCUCUGAUGGGAGGCUCCAGGCACAGGAGCUAGUGGUGGCAGGAUGCCCUGAUGGCUAUGUGCCCACCACAGUGGCCAGGCAUGGGCAGCGGUGAGCCACUGGAGCAGAGCUUGCUUGCCCUGGUGCCAGGCGGUGUCCUGCAAAACACAGCAUGUGGCAGAUUUGUCUGCCUCCUCCCUCUGCACCCACCUGGAGGACAGCAGGGCCCUCCGGGAGGUGAGGGUAGAGAACUGGGUGGGCAAGGAGGAAGAAGGCCUGGACACCUGCCCUGAGCCACACCCAGAGUCUGAGGGGAGGGGACCGUGACAGCCCCACAGUGGCCUGCUCCCCAGAACUCUGGAGAAAGCGGGGCCCGGCCUCCGAGAGGCCGCCACAGUGACAUUCAUCCCACAAGCAUGGGCAGCCUCGCAGGUGUCUGCGGGGCUCCGAGGUGACCCUCAGGCCUGGUGCCUGCAGGGGACAGGCCCCAGGGUGCCUUAUGGACACUGGAUUUCCACACAGCUUUGCGCCCUAGGGCCCAUGUGCGGCUCCUUAGGUGGCCUCGGGGGCCUUCACAGCUCCAAACCGAAUCUUUGGGGGCCACCCCCCAGGUGUGGCUCAGGCUCAAUGUUCCCACCCUUACACAGCUCAGGACUGGCAUUGCAAAAAAAUAAAUCACAGAGAAUCAGAACAUAAAGAUCAUAACCAACCCCAACAUCAAGGUGGACCCCACGUGGCCUGUUCCCUGCAGGUACCAGGCCUUAGGGCCCCUUCUUUCCUUUGUCUAGCAUGCAGGUUCGUGGGACAGUUGAGGUCAUACCUUGUGAGCUACUUGGAACAUUACCUUUUGAAAGCCAGUUUUACUGUUGUAAUGAGAUUAGGGUUUUUCCAUGUCGUUAAAAAUGCCUCUGAAGCACAACUGUCAGCCGAGCUAGCUCCAGGGACCACGAGGGAAGCAGAACAGACGGGACUGUCUCUACAGGGCCCAGGAUGCCUCCUGGAGCCCAGUCACCCUGGCCCCAUGUGCAGCCCCUGCCGAGGCAGAGGGGAUGAGCCAGUGCUCAGGAGGCUCGGGUCUCCAUCCCCCGAGGGCAGGAGCACCAGCGCCUGUGCCACCUGCAGCAUCUGCUGCCUCCCUCUUUCCUCAGCACCAAGCAACAUCGCCUCUGGGGAAGUAAAUGCCAAGCCCCACUGGCUCCUCCCCAGGAGGAGCUGAGGUCCUGCAUGGGUGGCAGGCAUGGGGCUGCGAGUGCACACGGUGAGGAGCGGGUCGGGCUGUGCCGUCCCCUGCCUGCCCCACACAGCCUCACGGGUGGGGGAUCCACAGGUGCUGUCCCCUCUCCCCUGUCCUGCUUCUCUCCCCUGGACUGGGGAGGUUUACUGGGGGCCGGACCUCUGGCUGCACCCAUGGGGUGGGAACGCCAGGGACCACCUGGUGGGACCAGCUGGGGGCCCCUUGCUUCGCCGCCACCUCUGGUCCUGUGGGACUGGGGACCAAGCCCAGUUCUCCUUCCCUUCCCACCGGGUGCCCAAGUCCUGAGUGGCCUGGGGUGGCUCCGGGGCUCCCUGUCUAUGCUGCACACAAAUCAGGCCCUAAAUUAAAGUGCCACAGGGCCACGGGGCAGGCUCCAGUUUCCUGCCACAGAACAUGAGCCCGCUUGAUAAAGCAACUUUGGUUUUGAUAAAUGUGGAUUUUCUGUGGCAGAGACAAAGGCGCCCUUGAGCCCAGAGGGACCUAAAACAGCACAGUGCUGAAAAGUAUUUCCUGAUCAUAUUUUUAGCACCUGAAAAAAAAAAACACAUUUUUUUC
ensembl:lncRNA